UAUUUGCAAGUCAGUUAGACUUUACCUCAUCACACCUAUGCUAUAUACAGGGUGUUUUUACAUUUCAUUGCAUCUCAAUUCAUUAUCACUCAUUGGUAAAAUAGCCUCGUUGCUUCUCUUAUUGUGAAGGUUUUAUUUGCAGAUCGCUGUUCUUGGGUUGGGUGGUUUCACCAACAUUGAAAUCUACACACAAUUUUCGCUAGAAACUUUUUGUCUGAAGCACCCAUCACUUCCCAUGUCUAUAGAAGAUUGUCCAAAAAUAUUAUAGAAUGAUGGUGUCACAGUUCCAACACAGGAUGCUAACAAGAAAGGAAAGCUUCUAUAUGCUUUGAAUGCAGUCAUAUGAUAUAAACAUCAAGCAGUAGACUUCCUCAUAUCUAUACCACCAUUAAAUAUUGGAAGGCAUG